rnacentral:rRNA from 1 species
AACGAACGCUGGCGGCGUGGAUAAGACAUGCAAGUCGAACGGGAUUUUCCGUUGUAGCAAUACGAUGGAAAAUUUAGUGGCGAACGGGUGCUUAACACGUGGGCAACCUGCCAGGAAGUGGGGGAUAGCUCGCCGAAAGGCGAAUUAAUACCGCAUGUGAUUAGAGAGGACAUCCUUUCGAAAUUAAAGUCGGGGCAACCUGACGCUUCUUGUGGGGCCCGCGGCCUAUCAGCUAGUUGGUGAGGUAACGGCUCACCAAGGGUUUGACGGGUAGGUGGUCUGGGAGGACGACCAGCCACACUGGGACUGAGACACGGCCCAGACACCUACGGGUGGCAGCAGUCGAGAAUUUUUGACAAUGGGGGAAACCCUGAUCGAGCGACGCCGCGUGGAGGAUGAAGGUCUUCGGAUUGUAAACUCCUGUCAUUGGGGAACAAGGUGCAUACGUUAACUGCGUGUGUAUUGAUAGUACCCGAAGAGGAAGAGACGGCUAACUCUGUGCCAGCAGCCGCCGUAAGAC